UUCUGUUGGCACCACUCACAGAAAUAUGGCAAAGAGGAACUAUGAGAUAAUCCCAUCAGUCUAUUAAUCUCUAAUUUCCAGAGAGUGAAUUCAUGACCAUUUGGACUGCAAAACAGCUUAUUUCCCAGAUAAAGGAAUAAAGCCAGUGCAGAGGAGUGCCUGGCAGAUGGAAAUGCAGAUGCCAAACCAAACCACAGAGGACCAUCAUGUCAAUGUUGAGAUAUCAGUGGAGGUAUAUUUGGUUAUACUCCUUGGAUCACUUUUUAAGCCACUCAUCUGUAGCAAGCAAUGACCAGAGAAAGGACCCUCACAUUCAUUUUCUCUACAUUGAGAACAAAGCAAAAAUCACACCUGCCAAACAGAGAAGCUUGAAAUCAACAGGGAAAUCAGAUGUGAUUUCAAGGUUCUAAAGUUCACAAAUAUGAAAUGAAAAAUCUGCCAGAGCUUCUCCCUGUAGGUAGUAUAUUAAAACCCAUGAAAAAUCUGAUUUUUCCAGUACCACCCUUUGAGAUAGAAAGUAAAUGCUUAUUAAAGAAGAACUUCAAGAGGAGUCCUCUAAGUGCUGGCGGGUUUUUGUUUUUUGUUUUUUUGGGUUUUUUUGUCAUCUAACCCUUUGACAUUCACCUCCCAAACCAUAAUUGAAAUAUCUAUCUCCUGCUACUUUCAUCUACCAAUCAAAAAAUUUUCAAAGAUUUUUAAAACAUUUUUUUUCCUACAGUAACUCACAGGAAAACAAAUUAUAGUUUCCUUCUUUAUU